UGGGGAAUUUUGGACAAUGGACGCAAGUCUGAUCCAGCCAUGCCGCGUGCGGGAAGAAGGCCUUCGGGCUGUAAACCGCUUUUGUCAGGGAAGAAACGAGUUUCUCUAAUACAGAGACUUAAUGACGGUACCUGAAGAAUAAGCACCGGCUAACUACGUGCCAGCAGCCGCGGUAAUACGUAGGGUGCAAGCGUUAAUCGGAAUUACUGGGCGUAAAGCGUGCGCAGGCGGUUAUGCAAGACAGAUGUGAAAUCCCCGGGCUCAACCUGGGAACUGCCUUUGUGACUGUAUAGCUAGAGUACGGUAGAGGGGAGUGGAAUUCCGGGUGUAGCAGUGAAAUGCGUAGAUAUGCGGAGGAACACCGAUGGCGAAGGCGAUCCUCUGGAUCUGUACUGACGCUGAUGCGCGAAAGCGUGGGGAGCAAACA
rnacentral:rRNA from 1 species